rnacentral:rRNA from 1 species
GAUGAACGCUGGCGGCGUGCCUAAUACAUGCAAGUCGAGCGAACAGACGAGGAGCUUGCUCCUCUGACGUUAGCGGCGGACGGGUGAGUAACACGUGGAUAACCUACCUAUAAGACUGGGAUAACUUCGGGAAACCGGAGAUAAUACCGGAUAAUAUAUUGAACCGCAUGGUUCAAUAGUGAAAGACGGCUUUGCUGUCACUUAUAGAUGGUUCGGCGCCGCAUUAGCUAGUUGUUGAGGUAACGGCUUACCAAGGCGACGAGGCGUAGCCGACCUGAGGGGGUGGUCGCCCGCACUGGACCUGCGACGCGGUCCAGACUCCUACGAGAGGCAGCAGUAGGGAAUCUUCCGCAAUGGGCGAAAGCCUGACGGAGCAACGCCGCGUGAGUGAUGAAGGUCUUCUGAUCGUAAAACUCUGUUAUUAGGGAAGAACAAAUGUGUAAGUAACUAUGCACGUCUUGACGGUACCUAAUCAGAAAGCCACGGCUAACUACGUG